rnacentral:rRNA from 1 species
GAUGAACGCUGGCGGCGUGCCUAAUACAUGCAAGUCGAGCGAACAGACGAGGAGCUUGCUCCUUCGACGUUAGCGGCGGACGGGUGAGUAACACGUAGGUAACCUACCUAUAAGACUGGGAUAACUUCGGGAAACCGGAGCUAAUACCGGAUAAUAUUUCGAACCGCAUGGUUCGAUAGUGAAAGAUGGCUUUGCUAUCACUUAUAGAUGGACCUGCGCCGUAUUAGCUAGUUGGUAAGGUAACGGCUUACCAAGGCAACGAUACGUAGCCGACCUGAGAGGGUGAUCGGCCACACUGGAACUGAGACACGGUCCAGACUCCUACGGGAGGCAGCAGUAGGGAAUCUUCCGCAAUGGGCGAAAGCCUGACGGAGCAACGCCGCGUGAGUGAUGAAGGUCUUCGGAUCGUAAAACUCUGUUAUUAGGGAAGAUCAAACGUGUAAGUAACUGUGCACGUCUUGACGGUACCUAAUCAGAAAGCCACGGCUAACUACGUG